GACAGCUGCCUCUAGAGGGAAGAAAGUGAGACAAAAUAAUGGAAGUAAGGAAUUUUGUUUGUAUUAUUGUCUUUGAUAUUUAUAUAUGUCUGUGAAUGUCUCCCAAACAGAACUAGACCCAUACUCAGACAGAUUGUUGGAUGACAUAAAAUAGGGGCCAGAAAACAUUCUGUGUAAAAGGCCAGAUUAUAAAUAUUUUAGGCUCUGUGGGCCAUAUGGUCUCACACAACUACUAACUUAUGUCAGAGCAUGAAAAAAAAAACAGACAAUAUGUAAAACAAAAAAAAGUGUGGCUAUGUUCCUAUAAAUCUUUCUUUAUAAACACAGAAAUUUGAAUUUCAUAUAAUUU
rnacentral:lncRNA from 1 species